rnacentral:rRNA from 1 species
CCAUUAGAUGUUCUGGGCUGCACGCGCGCUACACUGAUGCGAUCAACAAGUUUUUCCUAUGUCGAUAGACACGGGUAAUCUUUUGAACUCGCAUCGUGAUGGGGAUAGAUUAUUGUAAUUAUUAAUCUUCAACGAGGAAUUCCUAGUAGGUGCAAAUCAUCAGUUUGCAUCGAUUACGUCCCUGCCCUUUGUACACACCGCCCGUCGCUGCUACCGAUUGGUUGAUCUGGUGAAUUAUUCGGACUGCCGGCUGAAGGGGUUUCCUCAUCUGCCAGCGGAAAGUCUUGUUAACCCUAUCAACUAGAGGAAGCAGAAGUCGUAACA